rnacentral:rRNA from 1 species
UAUCUCUGUAGAGUCUGCAUAUCAAUAAGCGGAGGAAAAGAAACUAACAAGGAUUCCCUUAGUAACGGCGAGUGAAGCGGGAAGAGCUCAAAUUUGAAAUCUUCAAGGUUUUACCUUGACGAAUUGUAGUUUAAAGAAGUGUUUUCUGUUAGAUGAGUAGCAAAAGUUCCUUGGAAUGGGACAUCAUAGAGGGUGAGAAUCCCGUAUUUGGUUAUUCAUUCUAGCUUUGUGAUACACUUUCAAAGAGUCGGAUUGUUUGGGAAUGCAGUCCAAAAUGGGUGGUAAAUUUCAUCUAAAGCUAAAUAUUGGCGAGAGACCGAUAGCGAACAAGUACCGUGAGGGAAAGAUGAAAAGAACUUUGAAAAGAGAGUUAAACAGUACGUGAAAUUGUCAAAAGGGAAGCGUUUGACACCAGUGUUGUUUUUCCGAAAAUCAAUUACGAAUGGCUUGAUUUUGUGUUGUAUUGACCUUAUCAGCUUUCUUCACUUUUUUUCGAGUCUUUCUUAAUGCACUUUUCGGUUAACAAGUCAACAUCAAUUUCUUUUGUUGUAAAAGAGUAUUCGGAAGGUGGCUUUCUUUUCGGAGAAAGUGUUUAUAGCCCUAUACUUCUACAAUCGGAGAGAUUGAGGUCUGCAGCGUAGAUCCUUCGGGGUUAGAUACACUUGUGCUAAGUUGUAGCUUUUCAUAGACAACUUGUUGACUAUGUUUAGUCAUGCGGCUUACUCGCUUGUGCUAUUUUACCUACGCUUAGGAUGUUGACUGAUAUGUAGUCGUA